AUACCUUUCUCGGCCUUUUGGCUAAGAUCAAGUGUAGUAUCUGUUCUUAUCAGUUUAAUAUCUGAUAUGUGGUCCAUGGGUCCACACGAUAUUAACUUUAUUUUUUAAGGGAGAAACCCCAUUAAAUAGCUUGCUAUUUGGGUUUUUAUGAGUUCCCUUUGCGUUGCACUAUUGCAAGGGCCGGGCUCAACCCAU
rfam:Brassica napus, WGS project CCCW01000000 data, contig: 2182